rnacentral:rRNA from 1 species
UACGUAGGGGGCAAGCGUUGUCCGGAAUCAUUGGGCGUAAAGAGCGUGUAGGCGGCCCUGUAAGUCCGCUGUGAAAGUCAAGGGCUCAACCCUUGAAUGCCGGUGGAUACUGCAGGGCUAGAGUCCGGAAGAGGCGAGUGGAAUUCCUGGUGUAGCGGUGAAAUGCGCAGAUAUCAGAAGGAACACCGAUGGCGAAGGCAGCUCGCUGGACGGUACUGACGCUGAGGCGCGAAAGCG